ensembl:lncRNA
AAUUCUCCCUCUGUUAACAUUCAUGAUAUGGUAAAUGGCCUGUAUUUGUAUAGCACUUUACUUAGUCCGUAAUUACAUUCAGUAAUUCACCCUUUCACCCAUUCACACACACUGGUGAUGGCAAGCUGCAUUGUAGCCACUGCUGCCCUGGGGCGCACUGACAGAGGCGAGGCUGCCGGACACUGGCGCCACCGGGCCCUCUGACCACCACCAGUAGGCAACGGGUGAAGUGUCUUGCCCAAGGACACAACGACCGAGACUGUCAGAGCCGGGGCUCGAACCAGCAACCUUCCGAUUACAAGACGAACUCCCAACUCUUGAGCCACGAUCGCCCGCGACUGCUGUGUUCACUCUAAUAACCACACAGGUGAAGGUAGAAAGUGUGUUUGAGCUGAUGUGGAUGUGAAGUCAGCAGCAUGGGUCAGUGUGUGGGAAGACAGCAAGCUCAGAGGAACCAACCUGGACAUCCAGAUAGACAUAGAGUGAGGGUUCAACCUGUACCUGACUAUGAGGCCUUCAUCAUUAUGAAGUACUGGGUGAUGUAUUCUGUUUCUUAAUGUUGUAUCUGACCCAGUCUUUUUUUCUCUGAAU